rnacentral:lncRNA from 1 species
GGGAAUCAAAAUAGUGGUACUUUUAGCCUUUGUUUCUUUUAUACCACACUGCAUUCUCUGUCUCUCACUCAGCUGCUUCUAUUAUACUGACAAAUUAAAUAAACCACUCCAUUGCUAAAGAGGCUUGGGCGGGCUGGGCUUCGGUACACUGCCGCGCUAGGAAGUUGAAAUAAACAUUUAUCCUGGUCUUAUUCUUAACAAAUUUAAGCUAACUUUAGUCAAGCAUCUUUUUUUUUCUUUUUUCUUUUUUCUUUUUCUUUUUUCUUUUUUUUUUAAGAAUGAAUGAAAGAAAGAGGGAAAUGGGAGGGGAGGGAAAAAAAAAGGAGUACUUCAAAUUUUUGUGCCGAUCUGCAACACCAAGGGAUGUGGCGUCUGAAGCAAAGGAGUAAUGAGAAGCCAUGUGUCCAGGUGACAUUUGUGAUCACCGUGUGGCGAGCAGAGGAAACUCCCCUGGCUUCCACCCUCAUGCCAGCAGCCUGCUCUCAGAGAGCAAAGGUUUGUGCGAGAGGGAGCUCAAAACACUGGGGGUUACCUUUCCCUCUUUGCCAUCUCUUAUCUAGCAGGAAUUUGCGAAUCAAAGGCUGCUUCUCCAACAGAGAGCCUACAGAGGUGGAUAGUGCCCAGCCGGUCUUGGAUGCUUCUAGAUGGCAUGGAUUUGAGUGGUUGCACUGUGUUCACUCAAGAACAGAGAAGAAAGGUUCAUCGGUGUAG